GAAGUUUCCCUCAGGACGUCGAUGAAGAACGCAGCGAAGUUUCCCUCAGGAGGUCGAUGAAGAACGCAGCGAAACGCGAUAUUUCUUGUGAAUUGCAGAAGUGAAUCAUCAGUUUUUGAACGCACAUUGCACUUUGGGGUAUCCCCCAAAGUAUACUUGUUUGAGCGUUGUUUCUCUCUUGGAAUUGCAUUGCUUUUCUAAAAUUUCGAAUCAAAUUCGUUUGAAAAACAACACUAUUCAACCUCAGAUCAAGUAGGAUUACCCGCUGAACUUAAGC
rnacentral:misc_RNA from 1 species